rnacentral:lncRNA from 1 species
GCGGGGCGCCGCUCUCAGUCCCGUUCCGCCGGGGUUGAGGCGUGUCGUCCUUUGAGCGAGGAGCGCGGCCAGAGGGCCGGCGGCUCCCAGGCUCCGCCCGCCCUGCUGCGCUCAGUUCCUGGGGCUCCUCUGCCUGGCAUCUUGCAGCGAGAGAGAAGCAGGAAGUUUGACGUGCUAAGCUGUGCGUUAAGGGAGCUCCGAAGCUGGACCUGCGCGACGCGGGGACCUGUGGAAGAGACAGACGCGACGCUCGGAGGAACCCGCGGAAAUGGACCCCUCGUCUUUCAAGGGGGAGCGCGGCCUUGAGGCUUAGCUCAGGGCCAGCAGCGGCCGGGGCCUCCCGCAGCCCCACGCGCCGGAGCGCCGGUGGCCCGCGCAGCGGGCGGAGGCCGCGGGCCUCAGACCAUGCUCACCCUCAUCACCGAGAAGCUGCAGAACCAGAGCCUGGACGACCUCGCCCGCAAGAGCUUCGAUGCCGGCCUGUGUUCUGCUGAGAAACUGAACAAAUGGGGCCCCCGGCUCCCUUUUGAGCCUGAAGGUAAGUGUUUAAAGCCCCGCCAGCCGUCCUGGGCGCGAGGGGGCGGGAGGGAGCGUGAGGCUGGAGCCUUUCUGGAAGGUUCCUGGCAGCGCAGAACUGAGAGGCCUGGGGUGGGGGUGGGGUCCCUCGGCCACCAGGGCAAGAACAGGGUGGGGUCAGGUGGUACAGGAGGGUGGCCCACGCUGUGGAUGUUGGGACGUGCGUCCUGGAGGGCGGGUCUGCCCUGACAAGUGCCCACGGGGCGACGGGGCCGGGGGCGGGGAGCGGAGGCCGUGACCAUGGCUGGUCCGAGGUUGUGGUGAGGUGCUGGUGGUGUGAGUUUCAUCCAGGUUGUGACUGGCCCUCCUGUGCGGCUCUGUCCCUUCCGUUGGGUGACCUUGUGCCGGGCGCCCUCCAGGGCUCAAGUGCGGGCUGCCACCAAGGUCUUGGGUAUCUGGACAGGAGGAGCAGGUGUGGGCCCAGCACCUGGCCGGGGC